rnacentral:rRNA from 1 species
AUUGAACGCUUGCGGCAGGCCUAACACAUGCAAGUCGAACGAGUGGCGGACGUGUGAGUAAUGUCUGGGAAACUGACCGAUGUAGGGGGAUAACUACUGGAAACAGUAGCUAAUACCGCAUACCAUCGGAUGUUCCCAGAUGGUAGUAGCUAGUCGGUGGGGUACCGGCUCACCUAGGCGACGAUCCCUAGCUGGUCUGAGAGGAUGACCAGCCACACUGGAACUGAGACACGGUCCAGACUCCUACGUGAGGCAGCAGUGGGGAAUAUGGCACAAUGGGCGCAAGCCUGAUGCAGCCAUGCCGCGUGGAGGAAGAAGGCCUUCGGGUUGUAAAGUACUUUCAGCGAGGAGGCGUUACUCGCAGAAGAAGCACCGGCUAACUCCGUGCCAGCAGCCGCGGUAAUAC